GAUUAAGCCAUGCAUGUCUAAGUAUAAGCACUUGUACUGUGAAACUGCGAAUGGCUCAUUAAAUCAGUUAUCGUUUAUUUGAUUGUACCUUACUACAUGGAUACCUGUGGUAAUUCUAGAGCUAAUACAUGCGAAAAGUCCCGACUUCUGGAAGGGAUGUAUUUAUUAGAUUAAAAACCAAUGCGAGUCUUCGGGCUCGUUUUCUUGGUGAUUCAUGAUAACUUUUCGAAUCGCAUGGCCUAGAGCCGGCGAUAUUUCAUUCAAAUUUCUGCCCUAUCAACUGUCGAUGGUAAGGUAGUGGCUUACCAUGGUUAUAACGGGUGACGGAGAAUUAGGGUUCGAUUCCGGAGAGGGAGCCUGAGAAACGGCUACCACAUCUAAGGAAGGCAGCAGGCUCGAAAAUUACCCAAUCCCGACUCGGGGAGGUAGUGACAAGAAAUAACGAUACGGGGUCUUAAUAGGUCUCGCAAUUGGAAUGAGUACAAUUUAAAUCCUUUAACGAGGAUCAAUUGGAGGGCAAGUCUGGUGCCAGCAGCCGCGGUAAUUCCAGCUCCAAUAGCGUAUAUUAAAGUUGUUGCAGUUAAAAAGCUCGUAGUUGGAUUUCGGAGUGGGCCAGUUGGUCCGCCGCAAGGUGUGUUACUGACUGGUUUGCUCUUCUUCGCAAAGACUGCGUGUGCCCUUAAAUGAGUGUGCGUAGGAUUUACGACGUUUACUUUGAAAAAAUUAGAGUGUUCAAAGCAGGCUAUUGCUUGAAUACAUGAGCAUGGAAUAAUGGAAUAGGACUUUGGUCCCAUUUUGUUGGUUUCUAGGGCCGAAGUAAUGAUUAAGAGGGACAAUUGGGGGCAUCCGUAUUUCGUUGUCAGAGGUGAAAUUCUUGGAUUUACGAAAGACGACACUGCG
rnacentral:rRNA from 1 species